rnacentral:tRNA from 1 species
GCAGGUGUAGUUCAGUGGUAGAACACCAGCCUUCCAAGCUGGUUAUACGGGUUCGAUUCCCGCCACCUGCUCCA